rnacentral:rRNA from 1 species
AGUGAACGCUGGCGGUAGACCUAACACAUGCAAGUCGAACGGCAGCACAGUAAGAGCUUGCUCUUACGGGUGGCGAGUGGCGGACGGGUGAGGAAUACAUCGGAAUCUACUUUUUCGUGGGGGAUAACGUAGGGAAACUUACGCUAAUACCGCAUACGACCUACGGGUGAAAGCAGGGGAUCUUCGGACCUUUCGCGAUUGAAUGAGCCGAUGUCGGAUUAGCUAGUUGGCGGGGUAAAGGCCCACCAAGGCGACGAUCCGUAGCUGGUCUGAGAGGAUGAUCAGCCACACUGGAACUGAGACACGGUCCAGACUCCUACGGGAGGCAGCAGUGGGGAAUAUUGGACAAUGGGCGCAAGCCUGAUCCAGCCAUACCGCGUGGGUGAAGAAGGCCUUCGGGUUGUAAAGCCCUUUUGUUGGGAAAGAAAAGCAGCAGGUUAAUACCCCGCUGUUCUGACGGUACCCAAAGAAUAAGCACCGGCUAACUUCGUG